GACGAACGCUGGCGGCGUGCUUAACACAUGCAAGUCGAACGGAAAGGCCCUGCUUUUGUGGGGUGCUCGAGUGGCGAACGGGUGAGUAACACGUGAGUAACCUGCCCUUGACUUUGGGAUAACUUCAGGCAACUGGGGCUAAUACCGUAUAGGAGCUCCUGCUGCAUGGUGGGGGUUGGAAAGUUUCGGCGGUUGGGGAUGGACUCGCGGCUUAUCAGCUUGUUGGUGGGGUCGUGGCUUACCAAGGCUUUGACGGGUAGCCGGCCUGAGAGGGUGACCGGCCACAUUGGGACUGGGGUACGGCCCAGACUCCUACGGGAGGCAGCAGUGGGGAAUAUUGCACAAUGGGCGGAAGCCUGAUGCAGCAACGCCGCGUGCGGGAUGACGGCCUUCGGGUUGUAAACCGCUUUCGCCUGUGACGAAGCGUGAGUGACGGUAAUGGGUAAAGAAGCACCGGCUAACUACGUG
rnacentral:rRNA from 1 species